AUCGGUGUCACGGCGAGGUCCGGAGCGGAGCCGCGGUCUCGGGUCCCAGCUCUGGGCGCCGGCCUGCUCCCCGCCGCCCCGCUGCCACAUCUGGCUGAGAUCCUCCCGGCGCGUGCAGGGACCGCUCCGGCGGCCAACAAAGGCCCGGGCGAGCCCUCGGCCUGCGCCUCGGCGCGCGACCCGACCACCCGGGGCUGCCCCAGCUCCCAGGCGCCUGCCUGCCUCGACCCGGCCCCUUCCCAGCGGCGCGCCCCGCUCCGGGCCGCCCAAACUGGGCGGCCUCCCCGGGGACAGGUCCCGGGCCCAGCCCCACAGGAGCUCCCGAGGCCCCGCGGACGGUCGCGACAGCCCCAACUUCCCGCUCUUGAGGGCAGAGACUGUCUUAGUCAUCAAUAUGUCCCAGGCACCUGUUCAUUGACAGAAUGGAGGAGGACUUUGUGGGAGAGAACAGACUUGAUCUGAACCUUGAAGAACAGAUGUCGGAUUUGGACCUGUGCAGAGAAAAAGGAAAUACACAUGAUAAGAGAAGGAGCACACCUGCAAGGUCACAAAGAGGGUGGUACACACUCAGUGUUCCUGGCACCUGGGCAGGAUAGGCUGGCCAAGAUGGACGGUGUGAACAGAGGCAUCAUGGGAAAUGUGUCAUGCCAUGGAAGCUGUGCAGGAGGGUUCGCACCUCAGGCUUGGGUAAGAAGAAAGCACUGAAAAUUUCCGAAGAGAGAAGCAACAUUAUAACAAAAAUAUUUCAAGAUGAGUCUGAAAAAAGGACAAAUUGAGCAGAGGAAGUCUGAUGUCACUGACACCAACUAGGGAGUUGCUGUGUAAUAUUUUCACCUGAGUGAAAAAAAAAUGGAUCUUGUGAUCAUCAAAAAAAAUACUUAUUGAUGGGCCAGGCAUGGUGGCUUACACCUGUAAUCCCAGCAGUUUGGGAGGCCGAGGCAGGUGAAUCACCUGAGGUCAGGAGUUCAAGACCAACCUGGCCAACAUGGUGAAACCCUGUCUCU
rnacentral:lncRNA from 1 species